GCAAAAAACACCAACACCAAAUCAAAAUCUAUCUACGCUUUGCUGUUAUAUAAUAGCCAACAAGGAUAAGAAUCAUUUGUAUGUACCUUGGUUUCACAAGAUACAUGAUGGUAAACACAAGUGCCAAGAAGAAACAGAUUCCUCCAACUGUGAGGUAAGCAAUGCCGAGGAAGUCAUUCUUCCCACCGAGCCAACUGGUUGUUGACAGAACAAGCUUCUUCUUCCCAUCGAAACUGUAUGUGUUGUAGUUGUUUAACAGAGUCACGUGUAUGGUAUCGCCUUUCUCCAGGUCACUCUCUAUCUUCCCGUAAAGUUUUCUAAACGUUGGCAAAGCUGCAGUUCUCAUCCACACGAUCAGAUCCUCUUGCUCACUCAGCUGAAACACCAUAAGAGACAGAGAGAGGUAAAGAUUCAAAAUCAAGUGUUUUGCAACCGAGAGUUUGAUGACUCUACCAAAGCAUUAAAGGCUUACCGAUUUAUUUGCAUCUAGCCUGCCACCACCGGUGAUAUUGCCCUCCUGAAAGUUCUUGGGGAAUACAUUUUUGCCGAACUUGUGUUCCCUGUCACUCUUCCAAGCAAUCCCUCUCUUGUUUACAGUUAAAGGCUGGUUGUUUUUAGAUAAAGCGUAUGUGUCAUUAAAGAGACUCCAAGCAAUUAGACCACAUGGCACAAUAGGCCGCCCAUUAACAUCAUCCUCAGGCUUGCACGCAUCUAUUUGAUUCUCAUCUUUCACACUCCUCAACUGAGAAUCACUUCUGCUUUUAACAUACCUGUAAUAUCGGGCGUCUUAUAUCAACCAUCCAUAAACUCCAACCUAAGAUACUUAAGGAACUUCUUGUACUAACCAAUGAAAUUUCUUUAGUCGUCUUGUCCCAUAAAUAACAAAAACUUAAAAUGCCAAAAGAGCAAUACUUUUUUUUUUGUUCAUUCCAUUUUUAUGAUUAGUCAUUGUUAGUGACUUAAAAGUUAUACAAUUAUCAGAGUAAUAAGAUGCGUGACAACGAAGUUAGUAUGUAAUGUAUAGUGGUCAACUCUACGUAAGUUAAUAUUCUGCUACUAUCAUUUACGAACCACUCGCUAAUAAAGUUAAAGGUUCUCUCUCGCUUUCUCAUUAUAAAAAGCUUCCCCUACUUCUCCAUAACACUCCACACUUUACUUUCUUACAACAUAGAAACCAGAAAAUAUCUAAACUAAACUCAUGUCUGAAUACAGUUUCUGUUUCUCCACAAACAUGUUGAGAGUUUAUGUAAUAUUAGUGAUAUGUAUGCAUGUUUGUUGCGCGUCUAGUGAUUGUACAAGUCACGAUGAACACGACGUUGUGUCACAAGAGGAAGCAGAGCGAGCAACAACGCUGAAGCUCGGUUCUAUCGCUUUGCUUCUUGUGGCAGGAGGUGUCGGCGUGAGUCUACCGUUGAUAGGGAAGAAGAUCCCGGCGUUACAGCCGGAGAACGAUAUCUUCUUCAUGGUGAAAGCCUUCGCUGCAGGAGUGAUCCUCUGUACAGGGUUCGUCCAUAUAUUACCAGACGCGUUCGAGAGACUAAGCUCGCCUUGUCUUGAGACCACUGCAGCUGGUAAGUUCCCGUUCGCUGGCUUUGUCGCGAUGCUGUCGGCGAUGGGGACGCUUAUGAUCGAUACAUUCGCGACGGCGUAUUACAAGAGGCAGCAUAGUAUGGGAAACAAGCAAGUGAGCGUGGUUGAGGAUGAAGAGCAUGCGGGUCAUGUUCAUGUUCAUACUCAUGCGAGUCAUGGACACUCGCAUGGGUCGACGGAGUUGAUCAGGAGAAGGAUUGUUUCUCAGGUUCUUGAGAUUGGGAUAGUUGUGCAUUCGGUUAUUAUAGGGAUAUCUCUUGGAGCUUCACAGAGUGUAGACACUAUAAAGCCGCUCAUGGCUGCACUUUCUUUCCAUCAGUUCUUCGAAGGCCUUGGCCUCGGUGGCUGCAUCUCUCUCGUAAGCAUCCACUCCACUUAUCUCCGAUUGGUUUUAUUGAUAUAGUUCUGACAAAUGUUUUGAUGUUAUAGGCGGAGUUACAGUCAAAAUCUACGGUGAUAAUGGCGACAUUUUUCUCAGUGACUGCGCCUGUGGGGAUAGGGAUAGGUAUGGGGAUGUCGAGUGGCUUAGGAUACGGGAGGGAGAGCAAAGAGGCAAUCAUGGUGGAAGGAAUGCUGAACGCUGCAUCAGCUGGGAUACUCAUUUACAUGUCACUCGUUGAUCUUCUUGCUCCUGACUUUGUUAACCCAAGAUUGCAAUCUAAUCUCUGGCUUCACUUGGCUGCUUUCCUCUCCCUCCUCCUCGGCGCUGCUUCCAUGUCUCUCUUAGCCAUUUGGGCGUGAUACAUUGUGUCCACAGAUACUAGCAAGCAAACAAGCACACAAUGCUGCUCUUUUUUUUCUCGAAUCUGUAAUCUUGGAAUCAAUACUAUUCUGUUUUGAACUCAAUGGCUUGCUUUUUGAUAGAGACAAACAUUAGUUAAAGGCAGAAAGAGAGAGGCUAGCUAAGUGCUUUAUUCGUUAUGUGGAUGGAGGAAGAGAAAAGGAGAAAGGUAAAUGAAAAUGAUAGGAAGCAUCAAUCAUGGUGGGCAUCUUUCAACUGUAACAUCAUCAUAGCACUUACACAUCUAUAAAUACAAACUAUCACUGGCAGUUUUAGCUAAAUAUUACAAUCAUGGAUAAAGAGAUUUACAUACACGGAUCAUUUAAAGAGUCUUUUGUUUACCGACCACCACCGGGAACUCUGUUCCAUGACAAGUAAGUAGGAUCUCCAAGACGCCUGCAAAAAACACCAACACCAAAUCAAAAUCUAUCUACGCUUUGCUGUUAUAUAAUAGCCAACAAGGAUAAGAAUCAUUUGUAUGUACCUUGGUUUCACAAGAUACAUGAUGGUAAACACAAGUGCCAAGAAGAAACAGAUUCCUCCAACUGUGAGGUAAGCAAUGCCGAGGAAGUCAUUCUUCCCACCGAGCCAACUGGUUGUUGACAGAACAAGCUUCUUCUUCCCAUCGAAACUGUAUGUGUUGUAGUUGUUUAACAGAGUCACGUGUAUGGUAUCGCCUUUCUCCAGGUCACUCUCUAUCUUCCCGUAAAGUUUUCUAAACGUUGGCAAAGCUGCAGUUCUCAUCCACACGAUCAGAUCCUCUUGCUCACUCAGCUGAAACACCAUAAGAGACAGAGAGAGGUAAAGAUUCAAAAUCAAGUGUUUUGCAACCGAGAGUUUGAUGACUCUACCAAAGCAUUAAAGGCUUACCGAUUUAUUUGCAUCUAG
rnacentral:lncRNA from 1 species